UAUUACCGCGGCUGCUGGGUGCCGGCAUCGAGAAGGUUCAGGACCCACAGACGGAGGGCCGGCGGCUGCAGCCGUCCACACCAGAGCACAAGGGGCUCUUUACGUAUUCCCUCAGCAGCAAGCGCUCGAGUCCAGAUGAUGGCAAUGACGUGUCCCCAUACUCUCUGUCCCCCGUUAGCAACAAAAGUCAGAAGCUGCUGCGGUCACCACGGAAGCCCACACGCUAAGAAUUCCCGCAUCGAAUUCCAGCAGCCGCGGUAAUA
rnacentral:rRNA from 1 species